UACGGGGGGUGCGAGCGUUGUCCGGAAUCACUGGGCGUAAAGGGCGCGUAGGUGGUUUGAUAAGGGUGUGGUGAAAGUCCGGGGCUCAACCCCGGACUCUGCCGUGCCGACUGUCAAACUCGAGGGCUGUAGGAGGCAGACGGAAUUCCGGGUGGUAAGCGGUGGAAUGCGUAGAGAUCCGGAGGAAGACCGGUGGCGGAAGGCGGUCGUGCUGG
rnacentral:rRNA from 1 species